GAUUCGGGCAUGAUUGUUACCGUGCGGAACACCGCGGUGACGUUGCUGGUAGAUGGAUGGAAGUAGAAGAUCAUUGUGAUCAGUGAAAUGGUGAGGAUUAGGCAGGCC
rnacentral:sRNA from 1 species